rnacentral:rRNA from 1 species
GACGAACGCUGGCGGCGCGCCUAACACAUGCAAGUCGAACGAGCGAGAGAGAGCUUGCUUUCUCGAGCGAGUGGCGAACGGGUGAGUAACGCGUGAGGAACCUGCCUCAAAGAGGGGGACAACAGUUGGAAACGACUGCUAAUACCGCAUAAGCCCACGGCUCGGCAUCGAGCAGGGGGAAAAGGAGCAAUCCGCUUUGAGAUGGCCUCGCGUCCGAUUAGCUAGUUGGUGAGGUAAUGGCCCACCAAGGCAACGAUCGGUAGCCGGACUGAGAGGUUGAACGGCCACAUUGGGACUGAGACACGGCCCAGACUCCUACGGGAGGCAGCAGUGGGGAAUAUUGCACAAUGGGGGAAACCCUGAUGCAGCGACGCCGCGUGGAGGAAGAAGGUCUUCGGAUCGUAAACUCCUGUUGUUGGGGAAGAUAAUGACGGUACCCAACAAGGAAGUG